rnacentral:tRNA from 1 species
AAAGCAAGGCACUGAAAAUGCCUAGAUGAGUCAUAAGACUCCAUAAACA